CUGAGGCCUAGUGCCCCCACCCCCACCGCCAGAGCUCUGACGGUGCCUCUCGGGCGCUGAGUUGUGGGUUGGCCCAAUUGUGUAGACCCCCUCCAGUUCCCGCAACCACACCCUCCCCCAAACUGUGGCCUUUAUGAGGCCCUUUGUGACCAUUUCCUGAAGCCAGGGAGGACUGGGGAGAUGGAGAUUGCCAAAUCUGAGGGAAGAUAAGGCCAGGCGGGGGAGGUAGGGUGUCUCUGAGACCAGUUGCCUCUGUUACAUAGAUUACCCCGAAUCCUCUCCGCCCACACUUGAACCUUGACCUUAACUCCUACACGUAGCGUGGCAGGAGAUGAAUAGAGAAAAGAUGAAUUUUAUAUCAAAUUGAUUUUUGCAACCUUUACUCAGUGAUUAACUACUUCCUGCUUGUCAUGAGGGAUGCAAAGAUGAAUAAGAUCUGAUCUUAAAGGGUGUCAGUCUGGUGAAAAACUAUGGAGCAGAUUAAUGCAGUCGAGUGUUAUAGAUGUUAUCAUAGCAGAAUGCUAGGGUCUUGGAGCUUCCCAAAGGAGGGAGUGAAUUCCACUCUGGAGGUGCAGAAGGCUUGAGAUGUCAGCGGCUGAUACUCGGUGCUGGAGGAUGAGCAGGGUCUGGGGUAGACAAACCAGAGGGGAGAGGGCACUCCAGGCAACCAGACAGCCAGAGUGGGGUUCUAGGAACCACAGGUAGAUCUGAAACCUGACUGGGGGUGGGAAGGCGCAGGCUGAAUCAGCAUAUGGGUUGUUAGAGCGCUCAUCUCUGCCUUUGCCUUCUAGGUAUUUACUAACAUUAAACUAUUGACUCUCAGCCAGAUCCCUCAGGUCUUAUUUUCUGGGUUAUGGGUUAUAGAUGAGACAGGGAGGCUUAGAAGUUAUAUAAUGUCCCUAAAUUCACACUGCUGGUAUGUUAGUGACUGAGGGAUGUCAAUCCAGAUUUUUCUGAUUCCAAAUGCUAGGCAGGUCCGAGUUUCCCACAGGAAUCAGGCCAAGAAAUUGAUUGUUUUUGAAGGCAGUGGGGAGGGUCUCAUUGAAGGGUCUGAGGCAGGGCAGUAAAAUGAUGGGACUUGUUUUUGGAAAAGAUCACCUGAGCAGCUGUGUGGAAGAGAGAUGGUGGGAGCCACAAGGGUAAUGAGAAGUCCCAGAGGUGAGUGGGUUUCUCCAGGCAGUACUUGGAGAAUGAGCAGAGGGUAGGGCUUGAGGAAGUGACUCAGAAAACCUGACAGUCAGUGCUCAGGCACUGGGAGGUGAAGAGAGGAGUCAGCUCUCAAGCAGGACAGUGACAAGAGGACGAGAAAUCCAGGGUCACCGGCUGCUGAGAGACCCCGUCAGAUAAGGGCUGAAAAGAGUUGGUGGAUUUAGCAAUUAGGAAGUGACUGGUGACCUCAACAGAUCAGCAUGUUGUUGAGGUGGAGGCAAAUGCAAAGUCUGAUGAGACAUAUAUUUACUAAGUGGAAAAAUAAAUUACAUAACAGUAGAAUCUCAUUUUUUGUUUAAAAAGUGAGUUACCUAUUCAUGAAAAGUAAUCUGGAAGAACAUUCGCCAAGUUGACAACAGUAGUUAUUUGGGGAGGGGGGGUUGGUGGGCCUAUCACUUUCUUCGUGAUAUUAUUCUGAGUUAGUUGGUAUUACUUUUUUAUCAGAAAAAAAAUCAAGUAAGAUAUUUUGUUAAUUAAAAGUGAGUAGGGGCUAAGGAAGUAGAGAAGGACAGUUUAUUCUAGGGGCUUGUUUAGGAAGAUAAGGAGUGAGUCUAAAGAGAGAUAUUUCUGAAAAAAGAGCCAAUGACAACAGCAGCUAUGUUUAAUUACAAAUAUGCUUUAAAAUACCUACUAGACGCUUUUUUUUUUUUUGCUGAGGAAGAUGUGCCCUGAGCUAUCACACAUGCCCAUCUCCCUCUAUUUUGUUUGUGGGUUGCCACCACAGCAUGGCUGACAAGUGGUAUAGGUCCCCGCCCAGGAUCCAAAACCACAAACUUGGAUCACCAAAGCAGAGCCUGCAGAACUUUAACCACUAGGCCAUGGGGCUGGCCCCUACUAGGUGCUUUUUGUGGGGGGAGGGGUGUUACCUCUAAUCCUCUGAGUUGGGCGUUAUUUCCUCUUUUCUUCCUCCAUUUUGUAUGUGUGUCACCACCACAGCAUGGCUUGAUGAGUGAUGUAGGUCCAUGCCCGGGAUCCAAAGCCCCAGCUACCAAAGUGGAACACGUGGAAAUUAACUACUAUGCUACCGGGCCAGCCCUGUUUCCUCAUUUUAUACAUGAGGAAAAUAAGGCUCAGAGAGUUAAAACCUGGUCAAAGGCAGCACAUCUCAUAAGAAUUAUCAAUGAAGUGCUUGUUAAAAUAGAUUGAGCCCCACCCAAACCUCCUGAGUCGGGCUCUCGAGAGGAAAGUCCUGGGAAACAAACAGCCCAGGUGAUUCCUAGGCUCUGGCCAGCUUGGCGAGACUGCACUGUACCCUCCUACCUCUCUCAGGGGCUGGUGCUCAGGGCAGUUUCCCUGCUGGAUAGAGGGGAAUAACCAAGGGAUCAAAGGGAGGCCAAGGAGUUGACUUCGAGCAAGAAAAGGGACGGCCUGCUCGGGAAGUACAGCUGUAGAUGAAUGUGUAGGGGAUGUGUGUGGCCUUGGAUUAGCCCACCAUUCUCUGCGUAUGAGUCGGAGGUAAGCUCCGAGAUAAAGGGGUCUGGCAGCAUGGUAGAUGGCUUGAGGCCAGGGUAAGG
rnacentral:lncRNA from 1 species